AUAACUAUUAGAAAUGAUAGCUAAUACCGGAUUAAAUACAGAUUCGUUUCUGUAUUAAAAGGAGCCUUUAAAGCUUCGCUUAAAGAUGGGCCUGCGGCGUAUUAGCUAGUUGGUGAGGUAAUGGCUUACCAAGGCGACGAUGCGUAGCCGAACUGAGAGGUUGAUCGGCCACAUUGGGACUGAGACACGGCCCAAACUCCUACGGGAGACAGCAGUUAGGAAUAUUCGUCAAUGGGGGAAACCCUGAACGAGCAAUGCCGCGUGAACGAUGAAGGCCCUAUGGGUUGUAAAGUUCUGUUGCAUGGGACGAACGAUUAGGAUAGGAAAUGAUCUUAAUGUGACGGUACCAUGCCAGAAAGCUCCGGCUAACUACGUGCCAGCAGCCGCGGUAAUACGUAGGGAGCAAGCGUUAUCCGGAUUUAUUGGGCGUAAAGGGUGCGUAGGCGGCUUGUUAAGUAUGAGAUUAAAGCCCGAGGCUUAACCUCGGUUCGUUUCAUAAACUGGCAGGCUUGAGUGUGGCAGAGGUAAACGGAAUUUCUAGUGUAGCGGUUAAAUGCGUAGAUAUUAGAAGGAACACCAGUGGCGAAGGCGGUUUACUGGGCCAUAACUGACGCUGAGGCACGAAAGCGUGGGGAGCAAAUAGGAUUAGAUACCCUAGUAGUCCACGCCGU
rnacentral:rRNA from 1 species